AUCCAGCUGACGUGUCCCAAAUAGGCCGAAACAUACGUCCCGGAU
rnacentral:hammerhead_ribozyme from 1 species